CAGUUAAGAGGUGUUAUGGUCUGCACUGACCCUUUUCCAUAUGAUUUUCUACCCAUUACUAUUGCUCUUUUGUAGUCUUGAAGCGCACCUGCAACAAUCUCUGAUGCCGAUGCAGAACCCUGGUUCACCAAAACUACCAUUGGGAUCUUUUCUACAAAAACCUCGCCUGAAGCAGAAAAAUCUCUAUUAGAAGCACUCUUACUACGAACAGAAACAACCGUCCCUUGUUCCAAAAACAAAUCCGCUACAGCAAUCGAUUGAUUCAAUAAUCCACCCGGAUUAUUUC
rnacentral:ncRNA from 1 species